CUCUGCUGUGCUGCAAAUUCCUCCUCCCACAAAUGCUGUUACUGCCAGCCCGCUCAGCAAAUGCUGCCCCCUCCUUUUCCUAGGAGGUUGUGGGGCCAUACGGGACAAGUGCAAGAUCCUUAUAAUAAAUGCCAGCAAUGUCUUGAGUGCCUUUGUGUGAGUGCCCCAAAGCGUCCGUAGCUUGAUCUGAGGAAAUCUCAGAGCUCUUGGGCUCCUGGCUCUGCAAGGGGUGAGGAUGUGCCCAGGGCCAGGUUGCCCGUCGCACCCAGCCCUCAGUGCUCUGUGAAGCCAGCUGUGGAGCGCGGACUGCUGCUGCAGAGCCUGCGCAGCCAGGACAGCUGUCAUUUCAGCAGCCGUCCAGUGUAGGGCUGUCUCACUGCUUGGGCCUCAUUUCAAAGCCUCUGCACCCUUUUCCCCUUCACAGGGGCUCCUUGUGCAAGUAACUAAAGGAAAGGAACGGAGGUUACUUUGGGGCUCUGUGCCUGACCUUGUGCUGCUCAUUUGCACAGGCCUUGUGAGCCUAGAGUGCCUUGGCCACCUUGCGGUGUUACCGCAAGAGCUUGCCUGUGUGUCUGGGUUGAGGAGCCAAGAGAUGGCAUCGAGCAGAGCAGUGGCUGGGGAGUGUGCAAGUGGCGAGUGUCCUGCAUGCAUCUCUUUGUGCUGGCACUUGGUUGUAUCUAGCAGAAGAGCCAGCUCUGUGGGGCAGAGACAGUGUGUUUGUAGACUAGCUGGCACACCAGCGGUCUGGCGUCAGGUUGAUGGCUGUUGCAGUGCCGAGUUGAUCUGAGAGUGUCAGAAGCUCUUUCCUGUGGAGCUGCUCCCUCAGCUGGUCUCUGUACCUAGAAAUGCAGUAGAAAUGGAAGUGGCAUCCUGCUGUCAUUGUGUAGGUGCUGCAGUGCAAAGGCUCCCAGCUCGGACUUGAUGGUACUAAAGGAAAAGCAAGACCAAUUGUUCCCUUUUGUGAUUUGUGCGCAGGGUGACAGAGUGGAGCUGUACCAUGAUCUGGAGAGAGUCUUGCCAGGAGAUGAAAGCUGUUUGCAGAAGACUCUUCUGUACGGAGUGAUAACAGCAUAAUCAAGGGAUGUGAGAGUGGCCCAGGUGAGCUUCUCAUCUGUGAAGGUUUGCACUUUUCAGAUCCCUUGUGACUCAGUCCCAGAUA
rnacentral:lncRNA from 1 species